UGCUCCCAGCACAGCGCAUGAGGGAACGGGCUGGGUCAGAUGGAGAGGAGCUCGGCAUGGAGCUCGGCAUGGAGCUCGGCAUGGAGCUCGGCAUGGAGCUCAUGGCUCUGCGACCCCUGACAGCAGGUUGGGGGGGGGCUCGGCCUCUGCUCCAGAUAACAGCGGCGGGGUGAGAGGUGCAGAUCUGUGCUUGGCACACUGUCCACUGUACCUCCAUGAGUACCCACUGAUUUCUUUCCUGAUGGAGAACUGGGAAUAGUUGCGUCACCACCUUGUGCUCUCAAAGAGAUUCAGGACAGCAGCUGCGAGAUGAAUUUCAAGAACCUGAAAAGAAGAAAAGCCCCAACCUCCUCCUCCAAUCAUCACAUCACGUACCGCCCUAUUUGGCUUUGGAGAUAACUGUAUACGGCUUUGUUGCUGAAAAUGAUGCUUCCAUUUUUCAGGACCUGAUUGAAGUCUUCUUCUAAUAAGAAGUGGUUGGUUCCAGUUUUAAAAAGCAAUAAUAAUAAUCCAAUAAAGAUGGGAGCUUUUGUCCUUAAAUAUCACAGAAUCCUUUUUGAAAAAGGUGGGGCUGAGAACCUUCUUGUUUUUCUGGCCAAUCCUGCAGUGAAGCUGUUCUACUCCAACUGUAUGAAGAGCAUGGGGCAACAGGAUGGAAACUGGGAAGAGUGCCUGGAGCUGAGGCUCAGGGAGCCCUGAUUGCCCCUGUGGAGCAUCACAAAGCCCACACCAAAUGCACCAAGUGUUCCUGCCAUCUCACCAUUAGGAAGUUUUCCCUGGAUAUUCAGCCUAAUUUUUCAUUCUUUGAAUUGAUGUCAAUUACCCCACAGCUAAACCUAGUUAUGCAGUGGAAGACAGGUUUAAAAUACUGCAUGAUCUCACUAAAUUGAAGAAAUGGACUGAAAUCGAUACAAUAAGAAUGCCCAUAAAGGUUAAGUGGUUGGUGGAGGAAGGAUUAAUGAAAUGCACACAUACUAGGUCAAGUUGCAAAUACCAUUACUUGGUUCUUACCCACUCCAUACUCCACAAAUACGUUCUCGUCCUUCAAAUUGAAUGAGGAGGUGCCUCAGAAUCUGACUCAUGACUUGGAGAGUUAUGAGACCAGUAUCAAGGAGCGUUUGGGUCUGAUGCAUGGAAAAUGCAAGAAAAAGGUUUUACUGCUUUUUUUACUUAGUUCUGCAGAGAGCUCCAAGGCCCCACCUGCAGUGCUGCAUGGAGCCCUCAGUACAGGAAGGAAAUGGAGCUCUUA